UUUCCUUCUCCUUUAAUCAGAAACAACAGCCGAUCCCCAAGGUACAACAGCCAAAUCUUCAACAUACAACCAAACGACAACAUCGACCAACUUCAAACCGACUUCAACAGUCCGACCCGCCAACGACUCUAUCAACAACAACUGAUCGAACCUCAUCAACGCCGACCCGAAUUCAGUUCGAACCAACCCAGCUUCAGCAACAGUCGUGACCCAAACCUGUAUCCCGCGAUUCCAGCAAUAAGGAAUCGUACGGCCUCAACAGCUCAGCGUGAAUCCGUUGCAAAAUAGUACGAUUUCGUACAAAUUCACCUCAUAUUUCUAUCCUCUUUUUAAAAUUCGAAUUUUCCUUGACAAAAUCCCAAGAUUAUCUCCCUCAAUUCUUUCCAUCCCAUAUCAGUUGAGGCACAAGAAGGGUCCCCUAAUCUCCUCUAUAAAAAGUUCUCUUUGGAGCUAAAAUACCUAAAAAUCUCGGAAGGUGGAAAAAACCAUUUUGAGAAAAAAAAAAAAACCAGUAUAUUUUUGUUUGAGUAUAGCAUUUUCUUCUUUCCGAAAAAGGUUGGGGGCUGCUCGUAGCUUUCGGAGUCGAGGAAGAAUCCUCCGGUGGUGAUAGAGUCCGGUGUUAGCUCGUUGCCCCAUUUUGCUGCUCCGAAAAAGACCACAAUGGACUCCCUCCCAUGGCAUUUUCGAACGAGCCAAUAAGGCUCGUUGCCUCAAAGUUCAAGGCAAAUAUCGACCUUAUGGCAUACCGAAACCGAGGAGUCAAAAGAAGAAGAAAAAUGGGAUAAAGUUCCAUCGUUGAAGCGACAAAGCGGCUUAAAAGUCUCAUUCCCUUAUUAUUUUAUUUCUUAUUGUAUUUAUUUAUUUAUUCAUUUGUUUAAGUUAUUCUUGUAUUUGUAUUUGGGCCUGGAAGCCAAAGUUGUACUUAAUACAGGUGGAACGAACUCGAGCCAAGGGCUCGAAAACUAAAUUAGGACAGGUGAAAUCGAUCAAAGACCCAAUUAGACUAGGACAGGUUACGUUGAUUUGGGCUCAAUGGCCUAAAUGUUUUACUCUUUUCUCUCUUUCCCCUUUCAUGUGUUUAUUUGCUCAGUCAUUUUGUUUAGAUUUAGUUAAAAUUUCUACUAA